rnacentral:rRNA from 1 species
UACAGAGACCUCAAGCGUUAUCCGGAAUCAUUGGGCGUAAAGCGUACCGAUAGGUGGUUAUACAAGGCAGAAGUGAAAUUCCAAAGCUUAACUUUGGGUCUGUCUUUUGAAACUGUAUAACUAGAAGGGCAAAGAGGAAGCUGGAACAAACGGUGUAGUAGUGAAAUGCGUUGAUAUCGUUUGGAACACCAAUAGCGUAGGCAGGCUUCUGGGUGCCACUUGACACUGCUAGGACGAAAGCGUGGGGAGCGAAUGGG